GUGGUUUCAAUCUCAGGCAUAAGGCUCUUGCGCCGCACCCCACUCCUCCCCUCCAAACCCAUGUAUGAUGCUGCACCGCAAUCCUUUCCUCCAAACCCUCCCUGCCACAUAAUAACCAAGCCUUCAUCUUCUCCUUCCGCUCCAAACCUUCUUUUUUUCAUUCCCAUUCCCACUUUUUCUAUUUCUUCAAAUUUUCUCUCUUCCAUCUUCUUCUUCUCAAUCGUCAUGUUGCCACGUGGUUCGAAUCUCCACCGAGACCUUGGAAGUCUCGCCGCCGCCUCCGCCUCCGGGUUUCAACUUCCGCCCCUUCCAAUAACUACACCAACCUGCGCUGGCUUCUUUCGCGAUGUUCCACCAAGGAAGGUCGUCUUGUCGAUCGAGGAUUUCGGCAGUGGCGGAGAUGGGAAAACAUCCAACACCAAAUCGUUUCGGAGGGCGAUUCGGUACAUGUAGCGCUUCCAGAACCGCGGUGGGGCCCAACUUAAUAUCCCCACCGGCAGUUUCAAUCUCACAAGCAAUUUCACGUUUUUUCUUCACCACGGUGCCGUUAUUCUCGCCUCUCAGGACAAAGUGGGAUAGUGAAUGGUCAAGGAAGGAUGUGGUGGGAACUUUGGUGGAACAGAACAUUGGAGCACACGAGAGGGCACCUCCUUGAACUAAUCUACUCGGAUAAUGUUCUUAUAUCAAACCUCACCUUUCGAAAUUCUCCUUUUUGGACCAUCCAUCCUGUUUAUUGCAGGGUAAAUAAGAGGAAGGUCAACUUAUUGAAGAAGCUGAACAUAGCCCUACAAAUCAAGCGAAAAAUAAACUAGCUCUGCGGAAGUGUCGUGCGGAAUUGAUUACCAGCUUACAGCUAUUGGGUGAUUAUGAGUCCUUACUGACACCACCUCAACUUGUUCUUGUGGAAGCCAAUCAAGCUGCUGCCAAAGCUAUUAUGUUCUUAUCAUGAAACCCUGUUGGUAGUGGAUGCUUCAAAUAUAUGAGCACGAAUGACAUGCCGAUGAAAUGUUGUUCUAACUGAGGCAGAGAUAGGGUUAAACUGCUGGAGUGGACCAAAGUUAAAAUAAUCCAAGGAAUCUAUGGAAAGAUAGAAAAUCUGUUGGGCUGAUAAAUCUGUUGGACUAAAGUUAAACUACUGUGGUAUUUAAUCAUUUUUUUAUACGCCUGUGGCAUUCAAUCAUAUUUUCAAAAUUUGGUCAUAAUGUAAUGCUCUUUUUGCCUCUCUAUUAUUUACUUUUCAUAUAAGGCUAUCUCAUAAAAGUCUAUUCAUAUGUUUGUUCUGAAUCCCUAUCUUUUAUGUCUUUGGUGUGCAAGUGACACUUAUUUUUAUUUUUGUGUUCAUUUUUUUUUUACUUGCAGCUGGAAACUUGCGACAUCUAAUUGUUGAGGCUUGUAUUGCAAAAAAAUUGCUUGAUACAUCAGCUUAUUUAUGGCUUGGCUAUAUAUGUGAAUACAUGCAGCAAUCAAAUUCCUUGUAGCAUUUCUAAUCAUGUGUCUGGCAUGCAUUGGUUAAUGUCUUAGUUGCAACAUGUUUCUCUUGGGGUUGGAGGGGAACUAUGUACAGCUUCAGGGGGUGAUUGCAGUCCCUAACUUUUGAAAACUUUAAAAUAUCCCCUCUUUUUUGUAUGAAUUUAUCAAUUUUUUUUCUGUUGAACUUUUCUGUUUUAGUUCUCUAUUUCAUUUCAGUUUCUGCCAUUGCUUUUUGUUUGUAACUUCAUAAUUUUAUCUGAUUAUAAUAGGGGAGGAAAGGGUAAUGGCCAGGGUGGCUCUGGAGCAAAUGGGACUAUAACUGGGAAGGCUUGCCCCAAAGGGUUGUACAGUACCCUUAGUGAUCCUACUACCCAACUUGAGCAGGAUUGCAUCCAUUAGAAGAUACCUGAUAUCUUAAACCAAAAAAAUUAAGCUUGUGAAAUGUGAAUUGACUUGAUUUAUGUUUGCUUACUGUUUAUCUAGUUAUGGUUUUUCUUUGCAUAUAGAAUUUUGAUAUCACUCUUCUAUAUGGAACAUGACUCACUAAUAGCACUUGUAAAACUUGACAGAUGUAGAAGUUCCAGGUGCCUGCAUCAUAUUGAUAGGCUUGUCCUAUGCAGUGGCAGCAUUUCAGAUUACAUUGCCACAGCUGGAGCAAUCAUGUCCAUAAAAAAUUUCAACAACCUCUUCAACAAUAGUCAUCAAAGAUUAGGAGUUGCACUAUAUGGUGUUAUCUGGCUACAAGUUUUACUGGGCAUUUUUCGACCACAAAGGUAAAAACUACUGAAUUCCCCUGUUAUUGAGAAAAUGUGUAUCUGCCUACAUGAUUUUAUUGGUUAGGAAAUUUUAUCCAUGUUGACCUAAAAUUGCAAGCUUAGAUCAUUGAAUCAUUUUAUUAAUUGGGAUUUUUGUAGAAAAAAUAAUUUUUUCAAAAGAAGAGAAUGCAUAGGAGCUUGUUAAACUUUUAUCCUUGGACAUU